GGAGCAGCACCCACACCCCCAGUUGAGUAGCUGACAUCCUGGAGCUGCACCCAUACCCCCAGGUGAGAUCUGACAGCCUGGGGCAGCACCCACACCCCCAGGUGAGCAUCUGGCAACCUGGAACAGCAUCUACAGCCCCAGGUGACCAUCUGACAGCCUGAAGCAGCACCCACACCCCCAGGUGAGCAUGUGACCACAUGCAAUGUCAUCCUCACCUCCAGGUGAGCAUCGGACAGCCUGGAACAGAAUUCUCAAGCCCCAGGUGAGCAUCUGACAGCCUGAAACAGCACCCUCCACCUUCAGGUGAGAAUAUGACAGCCUGAAACAGCACCCCGCACCCAGGCAAAAAUCUGACAGCAUGGAACAAGACUACUGCCCCCAGGGGAGCAUCUGACAACCUAGAACAGCACCCUCACCCCGAGGUGGGCAUCUGGCAGCAUAAAACAGCACCCCUACUGGCAGAUGAGCAUAUGACAGCCUGGAACAGCACCCACACCCGCUGGCGAGAAUCUGACAGCCUGGAGCAACACCCACACCCCCAGGUGAGCAUCUGACAGCCUGGAGCAGCGCCCACACCCCCAGGUGAGCAUCUUACAGCCUGGAGCAGCGCCCACACCCCCAGGUGAGCAUCUGACAGCCUGGAGCAGCACCCACACUCCCAGGUGAGUAUCUGACAGCCUGGAGUAGCACCCACACCCCCAGGUGAGCAUCUGACAGCCUGGAACAGCAUCCACUCCCCCAGGUGAGCAUCUGACCACAUUGAAUGGCAUCCUCACCUCCAGGUGAGCAUCUGACAGCCUGGAACGGCACCCACACCCCCAGGCGAGCAUCUGACAGCCUGGAGCAGCACCCACACCCCCAGGUGAGCAUCCGACAGCCUGGAGCAGCACCCACACCCCCAGGUGAGCAUCUGACCGCAUGGAAUGGCAUCCUCACCUCCAGGUGAGCAUCCGACAGCCUGGAACAUAAUUCUCCAACCCCAGGUGAGCAUCUGACAGCCUGGAACAGCAUCCACACCCCCAGGUGAGCAUCUGACCGCAUGGAAUGGCAUCCUCACCUCCAGGUGAGAAUCUGACGCAUAAAACAGCACCCUGCAACCCCAGGUGAGCAUCUGACAGUCUGGAACAGCAUCCACACCCCCAGGCGAGCAUCUGACUGUAUGGAAUGACAUCCUCACAUCCAGGUGAGAAUAUGACAGAAUAAAGCAGCACCCUGCACCCCCAGUUGAGCAUCUGACAGCCUGGAACAGCACCCACACUCCCAGAUGAGCAUCUGACAACCAGAACCUGCACCACACACCCCAAGGUGGGCAUCCGAUGGCAUGGGACAGCACCCCCACUCACAGGUGAUGUGACUGCGUGGAACAGCACAUCCCCUCAGGUGAGCAUCUGACAGCCUGGAACAGAACCCCACAACUUCAAAUAAGAAUUUGAUAAGUGGGAAAAAGCUCCCCGCCCUCAGGUGAGCAUCCGACAGCCUGGAACAGCAGCUCACAUCCCCAGGUAAGAUUCCAACAGCAUGGAACAAGACCACUGCCCCCAGGUGAGCAUCUGGCAGCCUGGAAA
ensembl:lncRNA novel transcript, antisense to TTC34